AAUCUCACCCUUGCACUUUGAU
rnacentral:miRNA from 1 species